rnacentral:lncRNA from 1 species
GUGGAGUCUCGCACUGUCAUCCUGGCUGGAAUGCAGUGGUGCAAGCCGACUCACUGCAACCUCUGCCUCUUGGGUUCAAGUGAUUCUCCUGCUUCAGCCUCCUGAUUUGCUGGGAUUGCAGAGCAAACCAGUGAAAAAAUGGCCUUCGCACUCCUGAGAGACCUUUCACCGGGCUUUCUACUUUUGAAUUCUCUCCAUAGCUGGUUUCCUCUUAGGCCUCGAUAGAGCAGUCCCUGAAUCACACAGGUAUGCUGACUACGUCUUUUCCUGGUACAAACCAUCAUGGGGGAAACACACAGCAAGAAGCAUCUUCAGGUCACAAGAUAGGUAAUACCAUCUACCUGAAUUUUUUCAAAAGCAGCAGAAUAUUUAGUUUUCUAUUUCAGUGGCUUCUAACAGAGAUCAUUGUUUGCACAAGAUUAAAUGUCUGCAGUGGUCGUCUUAUCUCAGUGUGUGAUAUGGGAAGAUGGUAUAUGUGGCAAGGUUUGCUUAGGUCACCCUUGUAGAAAGUGGCCUCAGUAUGAUUCAGAGGUGAUUGGAAUCUGGGAAGGAUCUUAGAGUAGGAGAUGGAUUUGUCUCCCCAGGUUUUAUGGCUACAAUGAGGCAAUAAGUAUAUUUUGUUGGGGAGAGAAAUAAAACAAGAAAACUUCCGGAUUUGUAGAUUAAAGCUGUGGGUUUUCAAAAAUUCACUGUAAGCUCUGACAUGAGGUUGACAAUUUCCUAUUCUCUGUUGCUGGCUUCUUCUGUGAUAAAAAUUCAGGAUUGGAAAAGGUAUUACUAAAUAUUGGAGAGAGAUAUUAAAGAAAUAUCUUUAAUAAAGAAACCUAUACACGGUUGAUACUUUCUGCAAGAAUUGAAGAGAUAUUUUUUAAAAGCACAGAUUUAACAAGAAGGUGAGCACCUAAGUACUGGGCAUGUGUAGAAAUAAUGUGUGUCUUGGUUAAAAAUCAAAGCCAGAGAUUUCUGUAACCGUGAUGGGUAAGAACUAUAAAACCUACCAUUUAAACUUAAAAUCUAUUUGAUAUAUAAUUAAAAUUAAAAAUGUUAAUAUUUAUUUAGGGAAGAUAGUCCCUUUGUUCUAGGACCAGUUGAAAU